UGGGGAAUAUUGCACAAUGGGCGAAAGCCUGAUGCAGCAACGCCGCGUGAGCGAUGAAGGUCUUCGGGUCGUAAAGCUCUGUCCUCAAGGAAGAUAAUGACGGUACUUGAGGAGGAAGCCCCGGCUAACUACGUGCCAGCAGCCGCGGUAAUACGUAGGGGGCUAGCGUUAUCCGGAAUUACUGGGCGUAAAGGGUGCGUAGGUGGUUUCUUAAGUCAGAGGUGAAAGGCUACGGCUCAACCGUAGUAAGCCUUUGAAACUGGGAAACUUGAGUGCAGGAGAGGAGAGUGGAAUUCCUAGUGUAGCGGUGAAAUGCGUAGAUAUUAGGAGGAACACCAGUGGCGAAGGCGGCUUGCUGGACGAUGACUGACGCUGAGGCUCGAAAGCGUGGGGAGCAAACAGG
rnacentral:rRNA from 1 species